GUCCAUAUCACGUUGAAACACCGGUUCUUGUACGUUCACCGAAGUUAAGCAACAUUAAGUGUGGUCAGCACUUAGACGGGUGACUACUCGGGAAUACCAGGUGCUAUA